AGGCCUAACACAUGCAAGUCGAGCGGUAGCACAGAGAGCUUGCUCUCGGGUGACGAGCGGCGGACGGGUGAGUAAUGUCUGGGAAACUGCCUGAUGGAGGGGGAUAACUACUGGAAACGGUAGCUAAUACCGCAUAACGUCGCAAGACCAAAGUGGGGGACCUUCGGGCCUCAUGCCAUCAGAUGUGCCCAGAUGGGAUUAGCUAGUAGGUGGGGUAACGGCUCACCUAGGCGACGAUCCCUAGCUGGUCUGAGAGGAUGACCAGCCACACUGGAACUGAGACACGGUCCAGACUCCUACGGGAGGCAGCAGUGGGGAAUAUUGCACAAUGGGCGCAAGCCUGAUGCAGCCAUGCCGCGUGUGUGAAGAAGGCCUUCGGGUUGUAAAGCACUUUCAGCGGGGAGGAAGGCGGUGAGGUUAAUAACCUCAUCGAUUGACGUUACCCGCAGAAGAAGCACCGGCUAACUCCGUGCCAGCAGCCGCGGUAAUACGGAGGGUGCAAGCGUUAAUCGGAAUUACUGGGCGUAAAGCGCACGCAGGCGGUCUGUCAAGUCGGAUGUGAAAUCCCCGGGCUCAACCUGGGAACUGCAUUCGAAACUGGCAGGCUAGAGUCUUGUAGAGGGGGGUAGAAUUCCAGGUGUAGCGGUGAAAUGCGUAGAGAUCUGGGAGGAAUACCGGUGGGGGAAGGCGACCCCCUGGACAAAGACUGACGGUUCAGGUGCGAAAGCGUGGGGAGCAAACAGGGUUAGAUACCCUGGUAGUCCCCGCCGUAAACGAUGUCGAUUUGGAGGUUGUGCCCUUGAGGCGUGGCUUCCGGAGCUAACGCGUUAAAUCGACCGCCUGGGGAGUACGGCCGCAAGGUUAAAACUCAAAUGAAUUGACGGGGGCCCGCACAAGCGGUGGAGCAUGUGGUUUAAUUCGAUGCAACGCGAAGAACCUUACCUGGUCUUGACAUCCACAGAACUUUCCAGAGAUGGAUUGGUGCCUUCGGGAACUGUGAGACAGGUGCUGCAUGGCUGUCGUCAGCUCGUGUUGUGAAAUGUUGGGUUAAGUCCCGCAACGAGCGCAACCCUUAUCCUUUGUUGCCAGCGGUCCGGCCGGGAACUCAAAGGAGACUGCCAGUGAUAAACUGGAGGAAGGUGGGGAUGACGUCAAGUCAUCAUGGCCCUUACGACCAGGGCUACACACGUGCUACAAUGGCAUAUACAAAGAGAAGCGACCUCGCGAGAGCAAGCGGACCUCAUAAAGUAUGUCGUAGUCCGGAUUGGAGUCUGCAACUCGACUCCAUGAAGUCGGAAUCGCUAGUAAUCGUAGAUCAGAAUGCUACGGUGAAUACGUUCCCGGGCCUUGUACACACCGCCCGUCACACCAUGGGAGUGGGUUGCAAAAGAAGUAGGUAGCUUAACCUUCGGGAGGGCGCUUACCACUUUGUGAUUCAUGACUGGGGUGAAGUCAUA
rnacentral:rRNA from 1 species